rnacentral:misc_RNA from 1 species
UUUAACAUUAAUUGAUUGUUUUACACUUUAGAAUAAAAUAUUUUUUGGCGGCAGGUCCUCUCCCACCAGGUCCAAGAAUUGUAAUGAUGAUGAAGAUGGGGAGAGAGACCCCCAGAAUAUUACCCCGAAGGCAACUUUUACUCUGGGGGACUCUCCCAUUCGAAAUCCGAAAGUGGCGGGAUCCUGGUGAGAGAAACUUUCUCUUUUAAUUCGUCUUUGGAGCACUCUGCUGGCCGAUUUGUCCCAUGGUCGUCUUGGCGGGUGAGUUGGUAUUUUUUCCCAUCAGGUGGCAACUCCUUGUGUCAGGUUGGAGGCGGGUGGCAGCACUCGUUGGGAAAAAAGGACGUCGACUUGAGGACAACAUUGGAGGGCAGUGGAUUUGGCGUGAGACCUGUAUGAAGCAUCGUCGUGUGGGUGGACAUUGUGUGGCGUCUUCGUGUACAGGUGCAGGUGAGUCCAGAGGAUGUCGUCAGGAUGGGUAAAAUAUAUCACAGGAAUAAGAAGAAGACAUGUAAACAAAGAUUUCUGGACAGGAUUUAGGAGCAUAUCACAUAGAUUGAACAGAUCCCAGGUGUUGAUGGCGAUGGAUGGCCUUUUCGCAUGUAUCCUUACAUGGUCUGCGCGUUCGAUAGGAAGUUCGUCGAGUGGUGGGUACGAAGUGCAGAGAGUUAUAUUUUCGAGUGGGAGCAGACCGCGUCAUCUUUAUCUUCGCAGGGCAGGCAGUGGAUCGUGUGAGUAAGGAUUUACGUAUUUUCCGUGUCCAUCUGUGAGUCAGGAAGAACGUCGUCAGGUACUUGUAGGAGAGAGCCCAGAGAUCGUGCCAGAGAUGUCCGUAUGCAUGGUGUAGGAGCGUGGGCUUUCCUAUUGGCAUCUUUUGCUGGGAACGCGGUUCGUCCUUGUGUCGUGGAGGAGGCGGUUUGCAGCAUUCAUUAUGGAAAGGGUAAACAUGCAGGAAUUUAUCUAAUUUGGUCUAGUCAGGUACGGAUACAUGUGAGUCCAGUGGAUGUCGUCAGAUUCAAUUGCAUGUAGUGUAUGUAUAAAGGAAGAUAUGUAAACAAAGAAGAUUUCUAGACGGGAUUUUAGACGUAUUAAAAAAAACAGCAUUGAGCAGGUCCACAGUGACGGUGGCAGGGGAAGGCGUUUGACGGCUGGGUGUUGUUCCAUGGUCCUGAGUUUAUUUGUCCUUUCUCCUUACGGGUUCUGCACGUUCGUAGAGGGGUUCGUCAGGCUAGCAACGUGUUCAUGUAGAGUCAACAGGUUUUUUUUCCGAUAUAAGUGAGCGUCAUCAAGGAAAAAUUUUUUUGUCUGAGUGUCUGGGAUGGACUAAAUUUGGAUCAGGUCGCCGGCCAUUAGCAUGUCCAUUAGGGAUACACUACUGCCAAGAGAAGAGGCACCCAUUUCCUUGUCAACCGAUUCUUCUAGAGGUUACCCAGCUUCUCCCACAGCUUCGCUUGGAAACUUGUAUCCUGUUUUAGACGUUCAUCUACUUGCUGUUGCUGCAACUUUAUGUUUUCGGAGAUAUUAGUAAUAUUCUGCAUGACUUUGUGCAAAUUGUUAUCAGAAUAAGAGGCCAUUGUGGGCCGUUGUUGACCAA